CCAGGCAGAGCGAGAGAGAGAGAAAACAUGAAAUUAAAGAAAGAAAAUGAUAAAUCAGUGUGGAACAAAACAAGCACUUGGGUAAGCAAACAACUGAACCACACAGACCCUGCUCACACCGUUCCUCAGCUGUAGUUCCGAGCCCCAUCUGAUCGAAGCCCCGACACAGCUGCCGAACCCUCCCUCACACCUGAUGACCCGCAUUCACGUCUUAUCGUCCUCGCCUGCCGUGUUCCUGCAACGUGGCCAGUGACUGCUUGGGUCUAUUGUGCUCCUGUUUCGCCCUACCCACCACGUCAGUUGUGGUGUGGUGCACUGCGGACCCUCAUGAUGGUCCCGACGUUUUGACUGUGGUCCCUCCAGGUGUCACAACCCUCCAACAAGCUGUCCAGAUGAAGAGAUGAGAUGCCUUGCACACAUCGGUGGGGGAUGAGCCAGCCAUCCAUCCAUCACUCAACUUUCAGAAAUCUUGUUUCAUUCUAUUGGGAGAUGGGAAGAUGUUUGUAAAUUCCUAAAAUCGGAGAAACCGCAGUAUCACAGUGUAAAGAUACCUUUAAGUAACACCAAUCAGUGCUGGGGAUCAAACCUGGGGCUUCUGAGUAUAAGUCAGGGCAGAAUACUACCCAAGUCUUUGAUUAACUAGCCACUGCACCAGAGGCCAGUUUUGCAGCCAAGACCUGACACUCUUUCAUGCCCAGUGUGCCAGACGUGCUAGCACUGUGGUCAUGAAAGAAAGGUGACCGCACUCGUGGUAGCCACAGAAGUAACCUUUGGUGCAGUGACAUUUUUAGCUUCUCGGUUGGUUUGCCAUUCUAAUUUCUAGACGGAAGGCCCAGGCUGAUCCUUAUCAUUCGGUGGUGGUACAUUAGGGGAAACACCUAGGAAGAAUGUUCUGCUAAUUCAAUAAUUGUUGAUAAAACAAGAAUUUUUACAUUGUAAACUUUACACUUUGUUCUUCAGCAAAAUGUAAUUUUUGUAUGGAAGACACAAAAUACACCUUGAAAUCUA